rnacentral:lncRNA from 1 species
UGGGGGGAGGGGGGAAGUUGUGGGGUGGGGGGAAUGGUAAUUACAGGAAUUCAAAUGUUUCAGGGAGUAUUUGGACGUUUAAAUGAAUAGAAUCAACCACAGGCCAACCCUCAGGAACCCCCACGUCCAGCAUGUCACCAGUUUUCCCAGGCAGCCUCUCGAAGACGAGAUGUGUCAACAACAUCUCCCCAGGUCGGGGCAUAAAAUACUGAUGUCCUGGAUCUCAGAUACUUUUCUCAUUCUCUUCUACCUGAUGUCAUCUACUACCCUUGCUGGAAAUCAGGAAAUGAAGCAAACACCGAGGAAGAAACUGCAAAAUAAUAUUUUUCUGAUGUUUUCAGGGUCCAUAGUACCUUGUAUUUCUAGAGAUGACAAUUAUGAUAACAUUGUGAAAACUCUUAUGUGUGAAAAAAUUAUUUUUCUUCUUCCUAUGACAUUUGUUUCAACAUUGUCAAAAUGCAAAAUCCGAGGCUCCAUAUUUUGA